rnacentral:tRNA from 1 species
GCCUUCGGGGUGUAAUGAUCAGCACACUCGGCUCGUAUUCGAGAGGUCCGGGGUUCGGAUCCCAGCGAGGGCA